UGGACAGGGCAUAUUGUGUCAUUCAUUCA
rnacentral:piRNA from 1 species